CGCUGGCGGCGUGCUUAACACAUGCAAGUCGAACGGGAUCCAUCGGGCUUUGCUUGGUGGUGAGAGUGGCGAACGGGUGAGUAAUGCGUGACCGACCUGCCCCAUGCUCCGGAAUAGCUCCUGGAAACGGGUGGUAAUGCCGGAUGUUCCACAUGAUCGCAUGUGAUUGUGGGAAAGAUUCUAUCGGCGUGGGAUGGGGUCGCGUCCUAUCAGCUUGUUGGUGAGGUAACGGCUCACCAAGGCUUGGACGGGUAGCCGGCCUGAGAGGGCGACCGGCCACAUUGGGACUGAGAUACGGCCCAGACUCCUACGGGAGGCAGCAGUGGGGAAUAUUGCACAAUGGGCGCAAGCCUGAUGCAGCGACGCCGCGUGAGGGAUGGAGGCCUUCGGGUUGUAAACCUCUUUUGUUUGGGAGCAAGCCUUCGGGUGAGUGUACCUUUCGAAUAAGCACCGGCUAACUCGUGCCAGCAGCCGCGG
rnacentral:rRNA from 1 species